GCGUAUUCUAACUCAUUCUAUUAGGCUUAAAAAUAUAUUUUUGCUUCUUGAGAAAACAUUAAAUGGUCACUAAAUCUGUAAAUAUAAAGUUUAAUACUAGCUGAUAUUAUGAAAUGCAGUGCAUUGAACCAUAUGCAAUUGCUAGUCCUAGAUUAAAUGAUCAUUCAUGCCAAAAGUCUACAUCAGAUGGUAAUCCAUCUAUGCCAGAUGAUAACAUAAAGUCUAGUAUGAGGAGGUUAUCAAUAUUACAGAGUUCUGAAACAAAUUCUAAGGAGACAAAAUCAUUACUAGCACGAGAGCACCUCUGGUCGCACCAACAUCCGUUUCUUCCUCUGUAAAAAGAUGUUUAUCAAAACUUCAGUCCACAUUCAACCUUCAGACCAUCCAAGCAGAUAUGGUACCUAUGAUUGUUCCAAGAACUAGCACGAGAAUACACUUGUCCUCUGAUUUUACUAUAGACUCUGGGGUUGGUAAAACAAUGCCAUUUGACAUCCAAUUAAAAUUUACUGAAUUUUGGAAGGUGUCAAACAUCAAAUAGAAUUCAGAUAAAACAGAUAUCCAUUCAGUCUGGAUAUUUGAGCAGUAGUAAUAUUGAACAAAAUGAAUUUCUUGGCCAAACUCCUAUUUCUUUUGGCAAUUCAACAUGUGUCAGCUGAAACAAAUAAUUUGGAUGGUGUUAAGAACUUGAUUAAAGGAAGGAUCAGGUCUAUCCAAUUUAUUCAGAGAACCACAUUUGCACUUUGAUCAGGAAAAUUGUAAGUCUGAUGCCACCUUAUUUUGUUUUGUUAGAUUAUUCAUGAUUCCAACUUAUCAAGAUUUCUUGAUAUUAUUGUUGAACGCUGUUAGUUAUAGGACAUUCUAAAGCAUACAUCAUCACUAUUCUAUGUUAUUUUGUAUUUCUCCUUCAAAUGAAGUAUACUUGUAGAUAUUAAGUGAUCCUGUGAUUAAAUAUUUCUUUGCAAAUCAUGGCAUAGAUAAUGAAGAGAACUUCCAGAGUGAAAUUUCAGCAUUGAUAAUUUUCAAUCUUGGUUGGACUAAUACCAAACUCCUGAGUUGGAUCUAUAUAAAUUCUUACCCUAUCAAGUGUCACCUCCAAGAAAUUAAGUAUUCAAGGAAGAAUGUAUUGAAGGUAAAAAAAAAGAAGCUUGACAUUCAAAGAAACUGGUAUAGAUAAGGUACAUUUUGUUGGACACGGGAGGAAAUCCAUUAAAAAAUCAAUCAGAUUGGUGAUGGCUGAUUUGCACACUUGCAAGAGAGAUGUCCAUGUCUUCACUAUUGUGGACAUAUUCGCCGCAUGAAUUCAACCUUAGCUAAAGGGCUAACUGAAUCAACCAUAGCCAAUCUUGACGAACCGUGUUCAAUAUUAAAUUUGUUUCCGAUUAAGUUUCAACCUCUAGGGUAUUUAAAGAAAUAUGAAAGAACAUCUAGUUCAAAUAAGUCAAUCAAGAGCUUCAGGUUUUUAUGUAUUUAGAAUUACCUAAGAAAAGUAAAACAAUUCUAUUUCCUAUUAUGAGUUUGAAAUUUGCAUCUUUUUCUUACACGAGAAAUAGAUCAUGCACAAUCUUCAUCAAUACCAAGUACCCUUGCAACAUUAUAUGAACAUGAUGGAUCUUCAGGUAUGUAAGGUAACUGGAAUUUAAUCUUCCUAAGUAAUUGGUUUGAAUUAUUUCCAACCUCAUUUGGUUUACGUAUGAUUUAAUCUUUAGGAGAAGAUCUUUUACAAACUCCUCAUUGACCAUGUGGAAGAAUUGCUUCCAAUUAUUUAUACACCUAUUGUCGGAGAGGCAUGCCAGACUCUAUCUUUAGGCAUCCUCAGGGCCUCUAUAUCAAUUUGAAUGAGAAGUUAUUAUGUUGCUUGACUUGCUUCCUAAUCCAAUUACUGAAAUUUAUGGAAUAAAUUGAGUUUUCAAAGGAAGGAUUCUUGAGGUACUGGGAGACUGGCCUGAAAGGAAUAUUCAAAUUAUUGUGGUCAUAGAUGGUGAGCGGAUCUUGGGUUUUGAGGAUCUUGUCUGCCAGGGCAUGGGAAUUCCUAUGGGCAAACUUGCUUUAUAUAGUGUACUUGGUGGAGUCCGUUCAUUUGUUGUGAGUU